AUCAUGUACUUUCUACCCACCCCCAGACACCCCUGAGGGAGUCUUCGGCACAUAUGAUGUCCUCUAUUGAUGUUUGCUGAAUAGAUGAGGAUGCCAAAAGAGGGAGGAGUUACCAAAAGAGGGAAAGAAGGACACCCAGAAGACAAAUGGUGCUCACCUUGAGGAAAAAAAGAAAAAGGGAACACAUAGAAGCCAACUCCAGCCUUUAAACACGUAGGAGAUCCUCAGCUAUUUGUAUGUGUAAAAUGAAGGAAGACCAAUGCCUGCUUUCCCUCCCUCUCAAUCCAGUCAAGAAACUAUGUAGUCAAGACUUACAUAGUUCCAGGAACAGGAAACUCACUCUACAGCCUUGUGAAGAAACUGAUUCCAUC
rnacentral:lncRNA from 1 species